rnacentral:rRNA from 1 species
AUACGGAGGGGGUUAGCGUUGUUCGGAAUUACAGGGCGUAAAGCGUACGUAGGCGGACUGGAAAGUUGGGGGUGAAAUCCCGGGGCUCAACCCCGGAACUGCCUCCAAAACUUCCAAUCUAGAGAUCGAGAGGGGUGAGUGGAAUUCCAAGUGUAGAGGUGAAAUUCGUAGAUAUUUUGAGGAACACCAGUGGCGAAGGCGGCUCACUGGCUCGAUACUGACGCUGAGGUACGAAAGCGUGGGGAGCAAACAGGAUUAGAAACCCUAGUAGUCC